rnacentral:rRNA from 1 species
AGCGAACGCUGGCGGCAGGCCUAACACAUGCAAGUCGAACGAACUCUUCGGAGUUAGUGGCGGACGGGUGAGUAACACGUGGGAACGUGCCUUUUGGUUCGGAAUAACUCAGGGAAACUUGUGCUAAUACCGAAUGUGCCCUUCGGGGGAAAGAUUUAUCGCCAUUAGAGCGGCCCGCGUCUGAUUAGCUAGUUGGUGAGGUAACGGCUCACCAAGGCGACGAUCAGUAGCUGGUCUGAGAGGAUGACCAGCCACACUGGGACUGAGACACGGCCCAGACUCCUACGGGAGGCAGCAGUGGGGAAUCUUGCGCAAUGGGCGAAAGCCUGACGCAGCCAUGCCGCGUGAAUGAUGAAGGUCUUAGGAUUGUAAAAUUCUUUCACCGGGGACGAUAAUGACGUUACCCGGAGAAGAAGCCCCGGCUAACUUCGUG